CAUCACUCUUCCAUUCAGCCCCUUCCACUCCGUUCAUCAGUCAAGUGUGUUUGUGUGAAGCCUCCAGUGCUGUGAGAAGCUUGACACUCACAGAGGUUACUAUCACAAGCAAGAAAGACCAGGGAAAGCCCACGUGUUCAUGAGAAAACUAAAGAUCUAGUUGUGGUCAGUUUAGACUUCUGUGUCUGCUCAACAGACUGACUCAUUGCAACAAAGAGGGUGAGCCAGCCAGGCCAUAGAAGUAAGAAGCAGUGACAGCAGGACCAGGAAAAUGCCGCCUUCUACACUGACCUUUCUUCACCCAGAGGGGCCUAUUCGACUGAAGGAACCCUAUCAAGAAAGUGAAAAGAGAACACACAGAAUGGGAAAAAAAUCAUAUAUCUGACAAGAGACUUGUAUCUGG
rnacentral:lncRNA from 1 species